rnacentral:tRNA from 1 species
GGUGGCUCAGUGGUAGAGUGCAUGCCUCGCACGCAUGAGGCCCUGGGUUCAAUUCCUCAGCACCA